rnacentral:tRNA from 1 species
GCCUGGCUGGCUAGGUUGGUAGAGCAUGUGACUCUUGAUCUCAGGGUCAUGAGUUCAAGCCCCAGGUUGGGCA